UACGUAGGGACCAAGCGUUGUCCGGAAUCAUUGGGCGUAAAGAGCGUGUAGGCGGCUUGGUAAGUCUUGCGUGAAAUCUCGGGGCUCAACCCCGAGCGGUCGUGAGAAACUGGCAGGCUAGAGUGCGGGAGAGGAGAGUGGAAUUCCUGGUGUAGCGGUGAAAUGCGCAGAUAUCAGGAAGAACACCCGUGGCGAAGGCGGCUCUCUGGUACGUGACUGACGCUGAGACGCGAAAGCGUGGGGAGCAAACAGG
rnacentral:rRNA from 1 species